rnacentral:rRNA from 1 species
UACGUAGGGUGCGAGCGUUGUCCGGAAUUAUUGGGCGUAAAGAGCUCGUAGGCGGUUUGUCGCGUCUGUCGUGAAAGCUUGGGGCUUAACCCCAAGUCUGCGGUGGAUACGGGCAGACUAGAGGCAGGUAGGGGAGAACGGAAUUCCCUGUGUAGCGGUGAAAUGCGCAGAUAUCGGGAGGAACACCGGUGGCGAAGGCGGUUCUCUGGGCCUGUACUGACGCUGAGGAGCGAAAGCGUGGGGAGCGAACAGG